CCUACGGGAGGCAGCAGUGAGGAAUAUUGGUCAAUGGACGGAAGUCUGAACCAGCCAUGCCGCGUGCAGGAAGACGGCUCUAUGAGUUGUAAACUGCGUUUGUACAAGGGUAAACCGGAAUACGUGUAUUCAGCUGAAAGUACUGUACGAAUAAGGAUCGGCUAACUCCGUGCCAGCAGCCGCGGUAAUACGGAGGAGCCAAGCGUUAUCCGGAUUUAUUGGGUUUAAAGGGUGCGUAGGCGGUUUGAUAAGUUAGAGGUGAAAUGUCCGGGCUUAACGCGGGAACUGCCUCUCAUACUGUUGAUCUAGAGAGUAGCUGCGGUAGGCGGAAUGUCUGGUGUCGCGGUGAACUGCUU
rnacentral:rRNA from 1 species